GAUGAACGCUAGCGGCAGGCCUAACACAUGCAAGUCGAGGGGUAGAAUUAGCUUGCUAAUUUGAGACCGGCGCACGGGUGCGUAACGCGUAUGCAAUCUACCUUGUACAGGGGGAUAGCCCAGAGAAAUUUGGAUUAAUACCCCCAUGGUAUAAUUAAUUUGCAUGAAUUGAUUAUUAAAGUUCCAACGGUACAAGAUGAGCAUGCGUCCCAUUAGCUAGUUGGUGUGGUAACGGCAUACCAAGGCGACGAUGGGUAGGGGACCUGAGAGGGUGGCCCCCCAAAUGGAACUGAAACACGGUCCAUACACCUACGGGUGGCAGCAGUAGGGAAUAUUAGAAUGGACGAAGUCUGAUCUAGCGACACCGCGUGUGCGAUGAAGGCCUUCGGGUUGUAAAGCUACUUUUUGGAAGGAAGUAGGAAGGAAGGUACUUCCAGAAUAAGUCUCGGCUAACUACGUG
rnacentral:rRNA from 1 species